GUCAACAACUCACCGCUAAGUUCUAUCGAACUAUAGCGGGAGCUUGUAAAAACAGGCUCUAGUUGACCAGACUAAGUUCUACGAGAACUACGUUAUUUAGCUCAUGACACCCUAAGAUGCGUGCCAGUUUUAGGCUCUGUC
rnacentral:sRNA from 21 species